AGUCGAGCGGUUGACGGGAGCUUGCUCCCUGAUUCAGCGGCGGACGGGUGAGUAAUGCCUAGGAAUCUGCCUAUUAGUGGGGGACAACGUUUCGAAAGGAACGCUAAUACCGCAUACGUCCUACGGGAGAAAGCAGGGGACCUUCGGGCCUUGCGCUAAUAGAUGAGCCUAGGUCGGAUUAGCUAGUUGGUGAGGUAAUGGCUCACCAAGGCGACGAUCCGUAACUGGUCUGAGAGGAUGAUCAGUCACACUGGAACUGAGACACGGUCCAGACUCCUACGGGAGGCAGCAGUGGGGAAUAUUGGACAAUGGGCGAAAGCCUGAUCCAGCCAUGCCGCGUGUGUGAAGAAGGUCUUCGGAUUGUAAAGCACUUUAAGUUGGGAGGAAGGGUUGUAGAUUAAUACUCUGCAAUUUUGACGUUACCGACAGAAUAAGCACCGGCUAACUCUGUGCCAGCAGCCGCGGUAAUACAGAGGGUGCAAGCGUUAAUCGGAAUUACUGGGCGUAAAGCGCGCGUAGGUGGUUUGUUAAGUUGGAUGUGAAAGCCCCGGGCUCAACCUGGGAACUGCAUCCAAAACUGGCAAGCUAGAGUACGGUAGAGGGUGGUGGAAUUUCCUGUGUAGCGGUGAAAUGCGUAGAUAUAGGAAGGAACACCAGUGGCGAAGGCGACCACCUGGACUGAUACUGAC
rnacentral:rRNA from 1 species